GACAGAGGGGGCAAGCGUUGCUCGGAAUCACUGGGCGUAAAGGGCGCGUAGGCGGGAUGGCAAGUCGGUCGUGAAAUCCUUCGGCUCAACCGAAGAACGUCGGCCGAUACUGCCGUUCUUGAGGGAUGCAGAGGAGAUUGGAAUUCCCGGUGUAGCGGUGAAAUGUGUAGAGAUCGGGAGGAACACCGGUGACGAAGGCGGGUCUCUGGGCAUCUCCUGACGCUGAGGCGCGAAAGCGUGGGGAGCAAACGGG
rnacentral:rRNA from 1 species